AAGCUAUGAGGAACUUUACGCGGCAGUGGUGAUUGGGUCGCCACGAUUUGUCUGAAUAAACUUGGACGACAAUCAGCGUAUCUGAGCUU